UAGAUCUCAAAUCAGGCAGGAUUACCCGCUGAACUUAAGCAUAUCAAUAAGCGGAGGAAAAGAAACUAACAAGGAUUCCCCUAGUAGCGGCGAGCGAAGCGGGAAAAGCUCAAAUUUGUAAUCUGGCGUCUACGACGUCCGAGUUGUAAUCUCGAGAAGUGUUUUCCGUGAUAGACCGCAUACAAGUCUCUUGGAACAGAGCGUCAUAGUGGUGAGAACCCAGUACACGAUGCGGAUGCCUAUUACUUUGUGAUACACUUUCGAAGAGUCGAGUUGUUUGGGAAUGCAGCUCAAAUUGGGUGGUAAAUUCCAUCUAAAGCUAAAUAUUGGCGAGAGACCGAUAGCGAACAAGUACCGUGAGGGAAAGAUGAAAAGCACUUUGGAAAGAGAGUUAACAGUACGUGAAAUUGUUGGAAGGGAAACACAUGCAGCCAGACUUGCUAUUCGGGGCAACUCGAUUGGCAGGCCCGCAUCAGUUUUUCGGGGCGGAAAAUCAUAGAGAGAAGGUAGCAAUUUCGGUUGUGUUAUAGCUCUUUAUUGGAUUCGCCCUGGGGGACUGAGGAACGCAGCGUGCUUUUAGCAUAAGCUUCGGCU
rnacentral:rRNA from 1 species